CCGAGACGAAUUACAGGCGCUACGAACCGGAGCAAGGACUAAUCUCGCCUCAUAAUGAGGCGGUGACCUCGUAUUUGCUCCGGGAAAAAGUCCAGAUUUCGAUUUAGAUAAAGACAUCAUUGUGUCCGCCGAAUUCAGUCGAGCGAGAAGAAAGAGG